CUCAGUGUUUGUAAUCCUCCUACAACCCAGGCACCCAUGGGCAAGCCUUCUGUGUGUUCAUCCAUCUACGCACGUACACGGGUGAACUGGAAAGCUCCAAUACCUUGGAGAAGGUUGUUCCUGCGGUCAGAUCUUCAGAACCGAAGCUGCUGGAGAUGCUCCCUGCAUUCAGUAAAAUGGCGUUGGUGCUGGAGCUUCUGCAGAUGCCUAAGUCUCUGGUUAUUGUACCUUCUGUUUUGGAGCCUGAGGACGCUCUUUCCUGCAACUCUGUUUUCUUCUGUUAGUUCUGGCCUCUCUCCAUGCCUGGAGUGUGCGCCAGUGUCAGAGAUGGAGACUUGGAAGACGUGUUGACCAAAAGAAACUAGCGUGGCAGUUUCUGGCUAAACCUUCCGUAAAGCUUCUAUUCAUUAAACCUGAUUUUUCUCCUUUGUUUGCUAGCACAGUGCUAUCAUCUGCCAAUUUUGUAUUUAUAUAUCUUUUCAAAUGAAUUCACUGAUUUGAAUUUGAGUCCUGUUGAUUCCCUCUCAUGUAACAAAAAAUAAAAUCCUCUCAACUAUCAUAAAUAAUUUUUUUUCUUUUUUUUUGCUUCUCAAGAGUCUAAUUUGGUUUAAAGCACUGAUGGAU
rnacentral:lncRNA from 1 species